rnacentral:rRNA from 1 species
AUGGGGCCGCCGCGCGCCGGCGACCUGGUGACCACGCAGGUCAGCCUGGGCGGGUUCGACGCCGCCGUCCGGGCGCGCGACCUCGCCGACUUCCUCGAGCUCGAGGCGGGCCCCGUCUGGCGCUGCCGCGUCAAGACCUCCACGACCCCGCAGGACGCGGACCCCGACUUCCUCCUCCCCGCCGCCGCCGCCGCCGCCGCCCUCGACCCCGGCCAGGCGCAGCAGCGGCUCGUCCCCGUGCCGCCGCACGCCUUCGUCCACUUCGCGCGCCCGGAGGCGGCCCGCCGCGCCGCCGACGCCGCCGGCCGCUGCGAGCUCAUCCUCUCCGGGAAGCCGCUCCGCGCCGCCUCCGCGCCCGACAGCGCGCUCCGGGCCUCCCGCCGCCGCGGCGUCGCGCCGUUCCGCUUCCCCGGGUCCCGCCUCGAGGUCGGCGACCUCCCCGCCCCCGACGCCUUCCUCGCCGCCUGGCGCUGCCCCGGCCCGGACGACGGCGCCGGCGGGCUCGAGUUCGCCGUCGACCCGUUCGACGGCUCCUGCCGCUUCGUCUUCGCCCGCGACACCGCCUUCGCGUUCAGGGAACUCCGCGAGGCCGCCGUCGUCAUGCGCUGCGACGUCAAGCUCGAGUUCCCCGUCCGCGACGUCGCCGAGGUCAGGGUGUUCAAGCUCGACUGCUCGCUGCUGCUCCGGCUCUCGGCGGCGCCGCUCGUCUACUACCGCACGGCGGACGACGACAUCUACGAGUCCGUGCCGUUCGACCUGCUCGACGACGACGACCCGUGGAUCCGGACCACCGACAUCACCCCCAGCGGUGCCAUCGGGCGGUGCGGCGUUUACAGGAUCACAAUCCCGGCGCGGUUCUGGUCCAAGAUGGAGCGCGCGCUGGCCUACAUGAAGGAGAGGAGGGUGACCGUCGUCGAGUGCGGCGGUGGGUGGGGGGCCAGGAGGAGGGGGCUCACCGUGCGUGACGAGCCCGAGUUUGGGGAGCGGAUGCAGGACCUCUUCUUCUGCGUGCAGCACGCCGAGGGGAUCAAGUUUCCGGCGCUGUUCCUCGUGAACGCGCUGGUGCACAAGGGAGUGAUCAAUCAGCACCAGCUCACGCCUGAAUUCUUCGGUUUGCUCCUGGGGAGGGAGGAGGAUGUCAAUGUGGCUGCACUCAAGGAAUUCUGGGGGAUCAAAUUCCCGGUCUUCGAUGCGUGCCGGAGGCUGAAGAAUCUGCAGGACAGGGUUGCCAGAAACCCCAAACUCCUUAACAGCAAGAUUGGGGAUGACCAUUCUGAGGUGAGGAGGCUGGUGAUCACGCCCACCAGGGCGUAUUGCCUGCCGCCGCAAGUGGAGCGCUCUAACCGUGUUGUCCGGCAUUAUUGCGUAGUCGCGGACAGGUUCCUCAGGGUAACUUUUAUGGAUGAGGGCAUGCAGCAACUCAACAGCAAUGUGCUGAAUUUCUCUGCUGCUCAGAUCGUCAAGGAUUUGAUGUCAAACUCGUUCCUGCAGCAUAAGACAACAGUGUACAAGCGUGUUAAGACAUUUUUGACAGAAGGUUUCCACAUGUGUGGCCGGAAAUACUCGUUUCUUGCAUUCUCAUCAAACCAGCUGAGGGACAGAUCUGCCUGGUUCUUUGCAGAGGACAGAACGGACAGAACGAGAACUGUAGAAAGCAUCAGGAAAUGGAUGGGCCGGUUCACAAGUAAGAAUGUAGCAAAGCAUACUGCUCGGAUGGGGCAGUGCUUCUCAUCGACAUAUGCAACGGUGGUGAUGCAGCCACAUGAGGUCAAUGAGUGUCUUGAGGAUGUUGAACGUAAUGGGUACGUUUUCUCUGAUGGAAUCGGCAAGAUUACCCAGGAACUUGCACUGGAAGUCGCUAAGAAGCUGCAACUGACAGAUAAUCCCCCAUCUGCUUACCAGAUCAGGUAUGCAGGCUUCAAGGGUGUUAUAGCUGUCUGGGAAGGAGAGAAUGAUGGGAUACAGCUUUCCCUGAGGCCAAGCAUGCACAAGUUUGACUCUUCCCACACUGUGUUAGAGGUGGUCUCAUGGACAAAGUUUCAGCCAGGAUUCUUAAACCGUCAGAUCAUUACAUUACUCUCCUCCUUGAAUGUCCCGGAUGCUAUCUUUUCACAAAUGCAGAAAGACAUGCUGUCUAAUCUCAACAAUAUUUUGACUGACACUGAUGUUGCUUUUGACGUUGUAACCACCUCUUGUGCUGACGAAGGAAACACCGCAGCACUGAUGUUGAGUGCUGGCAUUUCACCUGGAACUGAGCCGCACCUGAAAGCAUUGCUGUUGGCUAUAAGGUCCUCACAGCUACUGGGUCUUUUGGAAAAAUCAAGGAUUUUUGUUCCCAAGGGAAGGUGGUUGAUGGGCUGCCUUGAUGAACUUGGGAUCCUUGAGCAAGGACAGUGCUUUAUUCGGGCCUCAUCUCCAGUACUCAAUAAUUCUCUGCUGAAGCAUGCACCAAGAUCUUCCUCAGAGAACAACAAUGCAGAGACCGUUAUAGGUACUGUUGUAAUGGCAAAGAAUCCGUGCCUUCAUCCAGGGGAUGUCCGGAUCCUUGAAGCCAUUGAUGUGCCUGCUUUGCAUCACCUUGUUGAUUGCUUGGUCUUUCCCAAGAAUGGCGAGAGGCCACACGCCAAUGAAGCAUCUGGGAGUGAUCUUGAUGGGGAUCUAUACUUUGUGACCUGGGAUGAAAAACUUAUCCCACCGGGCAAAAGAAGCUGGAACCCUAUGGACUACUCCCCAGCCGAAGCAAAACAACUACCGCGCAAAGUAACCCAAUCUGAUAUCGUUGAUUUCUUUUUGAAGAACAUGGUAAAUGAGAAACUGGGUCCGAUAAGCAAUGCUCAUGUUGUCCAUGCCGAUAUGAGCGAGUAUGGAGCAAUGGACGAGAAGUGCAUUCAGUUGGCAGAACUAGCAGCAUUCGCUGUUGACUUCCCCAAGACGGGCAAAAUCGUGUCGAUGCCGCCGGCCCUUCGACCAAAACUCUACCCCGACUUCAUGGGGAAGGAUGAUGCCAUCUCCUACAAAUCAGAGAAGAUCCUCGGAAGGCUGUACCGGUCGAUCCAAGAAGCCUCCAGCAGCGACCUGGUCCCAGAAGAAACCUGCACGCUGAACGACCUGCCUUACGACACGGACAUGGAGGUCCCCGGCGCGGCGGAUUUCCUGUCGAGCGCGUGGCAGUGCAAGUGCUCGUACGAGGCGCAGCUGGACGCGCUGCUCAAGCAGUACGGCGUGCGCACGGAGGCGGAGCUGGUGACGGAGCACAUAUGGUCGCUCCCCAAGUACAACAGCAGGAAGCAGGGGGACAUAAAGGAGAGGCUGAAGAACGCCUACUCUGCUCUCCGCAAGGAGUUCCGGGCCAUCUUCGAGAGCGUCGAGGCCGGCCUGGACGAGGACGAGAGGAACCGGGUGUACGAGAUGAAGGCCUCGGCGUGGUACCAGGUGACCUACCACCCCAAAUGGGUCCAGAGGUCGAGGGAGGCGCUGGAGCCCGACCGCGAGGAGGAGGACGCGCCGGCGAGGCUUAGCUUUGCGUGGAUCCCGGUGGAGCACCUGGCGCGGAUCAAGCUGCGGUGCCGCGGGGGAGUGAAGGUGGGCCGCCGGGGGCCCGUCGAGAGGCUCGCCGCCUACAUGUCUUGGAGCCUGUGA